UGGCUCAGAUGGUAGAGCAUCUGCCUGCAAUGCAGGAGACCUGGGUUCGAUCCCUG
rnacentral:tRNA from 1 species